rnacentral:rRNA from 1 species
AUAUAACUAAGCGGAGGAAAAGAAACUAACAAGGAUUCUCCUAGUAACGGCGAGUGAAGCGAGAAAAGCUCAAGCUUGAAAUCUCCCUGGAGAUGACCUCCAGGGCGAAUUGUAGUCUAUAGAGGCCUAGUCAGCUCGGUUUGGCAAUCCAAGUCCCUUGGAAAAGGGCAGCAUGGAGGGUGAGACUCCCGUGAUUGAUGGUCAAACCAGGGCGUACGACUGGCUUUCAAAGAGUCGAGUUGCUUGGGAAUGCAGCUCAAAGCAGGUGGUAAAUUCCAUCUAAAGCUAAAUAUUGAUGCGAGACCGAUAGCGAACAAGUACCGUGAGG